rnacentral:lncRNA from 1 species
UUUUUUUUUUUUUGUCUUUUCUAGGGCCCAAUCUGCGGCAUAUGGAGGUUCCUAGGCUAGGGGUCUAAUUGGAGCUGUAGUAGCUGGCCUGCGCCAGAGCCACAGCAACGUGGUAUCCGAGCCACAUCUGCGACCUACACCACAGCUCACAGCAACGCCAGAUCCUUAACCCACUGAGCAAGGCCAGGGAAUGAACCCACAACCUCAUGGUUCCUAGUCAGAUUUGUUAACCACUGAGCCACGAUGGGAACUCCCUUUUUUUUGAAACUUGUUAUUCCUAAUAAAGAAAAAUCUUUAUGAUCUAUUCAUUUUUUCAAAUUACAGUUGAAAUUACAGUGUUACAGUUGUAGAUUGGUAUGUGUAGGAUGUUUGCGGUUCAAACAUAAUGGGGAAAAGCAUAUUCAUUCAUAUAUGCUUCCUUGUGCAUAAAAAUCACUGCAAAGAUACACAAGGGAAUGAUAAUGAUGACAUUAUCUCAUGGGGAGUGAAUAGGAAUUAGAUGAAGAAUAGGAGCAGGAGAUAAAUUUUACUGUAAAAUAUUUAAGCUUUGAAAAAUUAUUAAAAUAAAUAUGAAUCUUAACUCUUUAAGCUAAGUGAAUAAACUUUUUCAUUUUUUUUCUCAAAUAUUUAUUGAGGACCUACUUUGUGUCAGGUACUGUUUUAGGUACUUGGGAUCAGUGAACAAUACAAAGAUCCCAACCCUUACAGAGUUUAUAUUCCAAUGAUGGCAGACCUACAUUAAAAAAUAAUCAUAAUAAGUAUACAGUGUUGUAUAUCAGGAGAUAGUAUGUGCUAUGGGAAAAAAAACACAUAAAAGCGUAUGUUGGAUUGGCAGUGUCAGUGCAAUUAGGAGGAGAUUUUACAAUAUUAAAUAAGAUUAGCAGGGUGGGAGUUCCUCUUCUGAGUCAGUGGUAUCAAACUCAACUGUUAUCCUUGACAAUGUGGGUUCAAUCCCUGGCUUCACUCGUGGGUUAAGGAUCCAGCAUUGUCAUGAGCUGAGAUGUAGGUUGCAGACACAGCUUGGAUCUGGCAUUGCUGUGGCUAUGAUGUGGGCCAGCAGCUGAAGCUCUGAUUUGAACCCUAGCCUGGGAACUUGCAUUUGCCAUAGGUGCAGGCCUUAAAAAAAAAAAGAGAGAGAGAGAGAGAUUAUCAUGUGGAUAUGUGACAAAAGAAUGUAAGGAGGUAAGGAUAAUAGCCAGUGUAUAUGCAUUGGGAGAGGUACAUGUCAGAUGUUUUAUAUAAAAGGUUUGAAGCCCAGUGUGUCUUGAUCAGAACAAAAAGGAUAGUAGGAUAUGGGGCCAGAAAUAUAAUAUCCAUUGGACAUUAGCAUGAUCUGACAAAUUUUGAAGUGCUCACUCUGGUUUUAUCAAUUUGAAUUAUUAUAAAUAGGAAGCAAGUGUAACAGCUAAGAGAUAUUUCAGAAAUAAUGGUGUCUUAAACCAGAGGAAGACCAAUGAAAGUGAUGAGAAAGUAGUUGGAGUUAUGAUGUAAUUUGAAACUACUUAGCUGUAUUCCUGAUGGACUGGUUAUGGAGUGUGAGGGAGAGGACUCAAGGAAGAGAGGUGUGAAAACAUUAUCUAGGAAAAUGGGAGAUUGAAUGGACUAGGAAAUUAUACUGUGAUUGGUUGUGAGCAUGAAGAGCCCACUUAAGAUCUUCAUGAAUUUAAAAGUGUAACUGGGUUUUUCUCCAGCUACAUUCAGCCACAUGACUUAGAUCCCAUCUGGUCUAAAGAAGACCUUUGUGGUAUUAUGGAAGGGACAGCCUUGUUAAAUUUUUUUAAAAAAUAAGGCAUAGGACAUCAUACAUAGAAGGUUCUCAUCUUAAAAAUUUUAAGAGACUACAUAUAGGCUUAUUUAUAUUUAUACAAAACUUAGAUGUGUUUCACCAUGGUUUAGCUAAGUAUGAUAUUUUUGUACUCAUUCUAAAAAAUGUAUGAGCCUCAAAUGAUCCUUAUUAAACCAUGCCUCUUAUUUUUGCCACAUUAGCAGGUGGCAAGUAUAAGAAAGGUCUCAAUUAAAACAUUACGGUGACCAUUUAAAAGGCAUGAAUGAUUUCAGAGUGCUUAUUUAAUCAUUGAAAAAUUAAGCUUAUGAAUUUGUAUAUUUACUUUUUAAUGAUUUUUAUUUUUUUCCAUUAUAGUUGAUUUACACUGAUCUGUCAAUUUCCACUCUUCAGCAAAGUGACCCAGUCAUAGGAAGCAAGGGUAGCAGCUAAGAGGACCAAGGAAAUAAAUACCAGAAACCAAGAGCACAGAGUAUUUUCCUUCAUCAAACCAUAGACUCUUCUCUAGUUUAAUCAAACACAAAAGAAUGACCACCUUGGCAAAUGGCCACAGAGGAUGUCAACAAUUUUUUGGAGAAUUAUGUUUUAAUGAAAAAUAAGUGUUCUUUAAUAUAGCGGUUUAUAUAAGUACAGCUAUUGUCCCCUUCCUUUUUUUUUUUUCUUUGAGCACUAUUGCAUGUGAAAAAUUACAUUAAGCCAUUUUGCACUUACCUCGAGUACUGUAUAAGACUGAAUUAUAUCCCUAAAUACAAAAUAAAAAUUUAAAUAGCUGAAAUUCAGUACCCAUGCUUGAAAACAGGGCUGUUGGCAUUUAUCUUGGAUGCACAAAUCAUAUAACUAUAAAUACUAAAUAGUUUGGAAGUUAAAGUUAUCUUCUGUUUAUUUUAAAAUUAUCCAUACCAUAUAUGAAUUUUUUUUCAUUUAAUUCCUGCACUUUUUUGGCCUCAAACAUUUUCAAGCAAUUGUUCUAAAGGGCUCCAAAAUCCUUGAGAUGUCAUCCUUUACAUCCCUAUCAGCUUUAUUUUUUGUGAGGUUCCUGCAUCACAAGAUGCCAUUGAACUUUUAGUUAUUUUUACAGGAGCUCUUAAUACUCCUGGAAAAAUAGCUGGCCAAGGAUUGUGGACCACGGUGCCAUCUUCAAUAUGAAAAUUAAUUACAUUACCCUUUAGAGGAAGUUUGGUUGAAAAGAAAUUGAAAACUGCAUUAUAACAAAAAUAAUAUAAGGAAUUUGCCUUCUCUGCUUUCAUAAACAGUAUUUAAGUGGGUGAAUAUAAAAUGAAAUAAAAGUAAACUUAUGAAAACAUAAGUAGAAUGCAAGAAAAUUGAUUUUUUCCAACAUUUUAUAUGAACAAAGAAACUGUAGAUAUGUCAGAAUUUUUAAUUUAGUGUUAAUUCAACCCAUAGGCCUAAGGUCAUCCAGCAAACGAGCCCGCUUUUUAAGUUGUACAUAAAAGGACAUUUUCCAAGUGAAGGAGGCCAUAAAUGUUUAAAAAGCCCAGUGUAGAGCCUUCUGAGUUUUCUUUCGGUAACUAGAGACAAAAUUAAUUCUUGCUUUUCUGUUGAGGAAAAUUUCAUCUAAUUACAUUCAAAUUAUUCUGCAACUUUUUGGACAGCAAAGCCUGGUCACCAAAGAAAAGAAAAAGCAGCUGUGUUGCCCUUUCCUCAUAGUUAUAAGAAUAGUAUUAUUAUGCAGUCACUAGGCUUUAUAGAACCGUAAGUGUUUAUCCUCUGACUGCCUUCUGGUAGGUACAUACCUAAACCUUUCUGAACUGCUGAUAAAGUAAGCCUUCUGUUUUUAAGGCUCUUCAAAGAAAUAGAUUUCAUUGCUUCUUUUAGCAAACCAAUCUGGAAUAACAGCUCUCAGGAGUAGGGAAUUCUUUCUUAACCCUUUUAUUGAGUGAUUGUUUCUGAAAUUUCUUUUCUCAGAAUCAUGCUUUAAUCAUAAUUUAAAUCUCUUCUUAGUUUCAUGUAAUCUACUUAAGGUUUAAGAAAAUACUUAAAGUUGAUCGCUGCUAAAAUUAAUAGAAAUAAUUUCCAUAAACAAUACUUCUCCAUUAGCAGCCUAUUGUUAAAUUUCUUCCUCUAAUAUUUCGAUUUUGAUCUUAUCUAGUGUCACAUCUUAUUUUGAUCUUAAGUUAUUCUUUAACCACAGAAACAUAUCUUGUGUCAGAUAAUUGUAAUUUCUCUUUCUUCCACACACAUUAUGUUAAGAACCAGCCCUUUGUUCUCUUUGAAUUGCAUUCUAUUUAUGACCAUGUCAUUAAUAAUUCUAAUCAAAAGUGCUGGUGAUUUCAUUUUCUUCUCAUAUUUUAAGGUCGAUUUGUAAAUUAUGAUUUAAAAAAAUUUUGAUAGUUAGAAAGGCAAUUAGAACAUCGUGGGUAUGACUAUAAGCUUGCUAUACAAGAACACAAAUUCAUAGAACAGAUUAAGACUGACUGAUUAACCACACCUGUGCCACUCCCACCAGCUGUGUUAUCUUGGGUAAAUUACUGAUUCUCUUUGUCCCCCAAUUUGUAUAUCUUUAAAAUUUGAUAAUUAUAGCAUUGUAAGGAUUAAAUGGGAUGGAUAAUAUAAGUAAAAGCUUAGCUACUUAGCAGUUGGGUGGCAUAUAAUUCAAUAAAUAGGUGAUGUAAUUAUUAUACUUUCUGCAAAAGCAAUAAUGAAUUUGUCCAUUAUAUUCAUACCAGAUUUAUUUUACAUCAUGUUUCUGGUACUGCUACUAAGUUUUUUUUUCACAUUGAAUUUCCUCAAUGAGCAUUUUAAAUUUUAUGUUCAAGCAUGUAAAAAUGCAGUUUAUGCAGAAAUCGCUGGUAAAACAAACAAACAAAUAAAAACAUGGUUGUUUAAAAAAAAUGGCUGGUAGCCUUUUAGUCUCAUGAAAACUAUGUAUAUUACAAAUUUUGCAGGAGGUUUUACUGGAUGUUCCUGAUUUAUUGCCUGUUCUAAAAUUUUAACUUUAUUUGAACAACUAUUACUUGGAGAAAUAUUCCAUUCACAAUGCAGAGUGAUCUAAAAAAUCUUCUUUGGAUUAAAUAUCUUUUAUGGAUACUUUGAUCAAAUCUUUAAUUAGUCUGAGACGAUGGUUUAAAAUUUCAUUAGAGGAGUUCUCUUGUGGCACAGUGGGUUAAGGAUUUGGCAUUGUCACUGCAGCAGUU